AUUUAAUGAUGUUUUAGUGUAUUCUAUUUCGUUUGCUCUUCUUUUCCUUGUACUAUCUAUUUACAAACCAAAAGAUUUAAAAUCCUCAAAAAACUUCGCUGAUUCAGCGAUCCUAAAAAAAUCUCGCCACGAUUCCAAUCUCCACACGUUGUUCGCUGAUUCACAGUAAACCAUUCGAGACGAGACGCUCAUCCACUCAUCCCAAAGAAAGGCUCGUCUUCUUGUCGGAGUGAAAAUGGCGUCGUCGUACACGUUUUCCUUUAUCCCUUUGACGACCGUCGUCGUUCCCCGGCGGAGUACAUCAUCUCCCUCUUUUUCCCUGAUUCCUCCUCCUUCUCUGUUAGGUAAGAAGCUUAUGGUGACACAACCGUCGCGCCGCUGCUUUGUCUCCAAGCACCGGUUCUUGACAUCGGCCAGCACCGUCUUUAGCGUCCCAACUGAGCAACCGGAGAAUGGUUCUUCUUCGGAUAAGAUCCCAAAAUGGUCGGCGAGAGCUAUCAAAUCGCUGGCAAUGGGGGAAUUGGAGGCUAGGAAACUCAAGUAUCCAACUACCGGCACCGAAACUCAUGGGUAUUUUAGUCGAAGGUUUGUGUUAUUCCGACCAGACCCAUGUUUGCUUCAGGCUUCUUCAGCUUUUUUUUCUAAUUUGAUGUGUCUUCUAGUUUAGUUUGGUGGAUAAUGUAUGUAUGCUUGUUGCGGUUGAAUGGUGGUGAAGAGUUCUCUUCCGCUUAUUAUGCAAAGGCUUAGGCGUAUUAUGGUUGGUUGUUUAUUCAUGUGGGAUGGGAAUUUUUGCUCCUGUCCUUUGUGUUUCUUGAUCACAGACAACUAAGUCUGUUGUAUCGUAAGCUGUGGAGUGCCUUAUGUUGGUUGAUAGAGGAGAGAGUUCAGUUACACAAUAGUAAAGUGAAAAAGCCUUAAAAAAUUUAGUUUUGAGAGAGAUCAGUAAUAUAAGAAGAAGUUCAUUGCCCGCUUAACUGAUUCUGAGCAUAGACAUGUGGGAUAAGGUUUUACUUCUAUCCUUUCGUUUAACCAUAGAAAAACCGAUAACUUUGUAUUCAGUUGUGGAAAUGCUUAUGUUGUUUGAUAGUGUGCUUGUCAUCAGAAUUGGGUAUUAUCAUCAUAAUUUUUUUUGUUAUCCUUGUUGUUUUCCCGGUUUUUUUUAUUUCAGGUACAAAGCACAGCUGCUAAGUUCCUUCCUGAGGGGGAACGGAGUCACACUUUUUAAGGUGAGAGAGGAGAUUAUAAAGCUGCUAGGGAAAUCAGAUAUGUACUUCUUUAGCCCUGAGCAUCCCUCCUCUAACCGAACCGGCUCGCAAGGCCGUUGACUGGGCUGUUGACGAGGAGAAGAAAUCUGGUGUGGAUGGACUGCCUACCUGCUUCUGGGAGUUUGGUCUCAGAAGGAUUCAGCAGGCCGCCAGAUUUUGGAGGCGCUCGGGUUCAACGAAGA